ACGUUUAUUUAAAUUCAUCUAAUAGACGAAGGUAAUACAAUAUUUUUAUAGAUGAUAUUAUUUUUAAAAAUAGUGUUAUUAAAAUUCAGAACUAAAAUAUGUAAAAAAAAUUGUUUACAAACAUUGGAUAAGGUCUGAACUGUACCUUGAAAAUCUGGAAAAUUUGUUAAUAUUGGCUAAAGUCGUGGAAAACCUGGGAAAUGUUCAUUCUUAGUCGUCAUUGAAGUACAACUUGGUAAACUACAAAACACAUCAAAUUCAGUUAUAAAAAUUUGAGUAACAAAGGUAUACUAAUUAUUGUAUUGCCUGAAAGAGUGUCAUUGCUAUUAAAAGCAGUGAAGAAUUCAAGUACUCUGGAAGAAAAGAAAAUACGUCAAUUAUUUGGCACAAAUCGGAGUUAAAGACAAAGGAGAUUGUAUAUUUUAUUUGCUAAGAAUAAUUUUUUUAAAUGGCCUAGUUGUAAAAUUAAACUAUGCAGGGAGAGAACAAAAAAUUGGAAUAGAAAAAAUAUUGAUUGCAUAUGCUGCUAUUGAAACUGUGAAGUC